CCCCUCUCAGGGUUGCACCUGGAGAGUUUCCAGUAAUCUACCAGUCUCAGCUUUGGGAGGGAGAGUCAAGCAGAGGCAUACCCAUUCCAUUCCUAUCUUGGGCAGUGGCUAGUGAGUGGAAGGCAAUCUGCUACAAGU
rnacentral:snoRNA from 1 species